CGGGUGACAAUGUUGAGUGGGGGAGGAACUAUUAUGUGGGGUUGGUGGUAGUUUGGGGGAAAGGUUUGAGAGCCGGACAGCCAUUUUGUAAACAACUCCAGGUGGCUCAGUUACUUGAUUGGUGGCAGCUGAAGACCAUAAUUGCAUAAGAUUCCACGUUAAUUGCAUGAAGCAGCCGAUUGGAGGAUGGAUAAGUAGAAAUGCUUUAUAAGGGCCCAGAAUCCGACAGGAGGCAGGCGGGGUCAAGGGGCAGAAGAGAAGCAGGCCAGACUGAUGGAUGACUGGGAGAGCAAGAAGAAGAGCUAAAGAAAGCAACUGGAGCCUGGGGGGAAACUGUCAGCAUUGUUUUUAGUUGCAGAAUGGCUACUUCUCUGUCAUGACCCCCAGCGCCGGCCUGUGACAGUCCUCACCACCACAUCCAUUGGACCGAUGUCUGGUCACUUGAGAGUCUAUCUGAGGGCCACGUGAGUUGCAGUGCUCAAACGUUUGCAGUGUAUUUAUCCUGAAACUACCCCCCUUGUUUGAAGUGGUUCACCUUGGAGAAAGUGGUGUGAAGAGUGUGCCCCCCCUCCCCCUCUAACUGUACUUGCAAGUGACUUGAGUAGGCCCAGCUAUUGCAUGAAGAGGACUGAAGCAAGCCUGGUACCUGCCACCCCCUCCUUCUGGCUACUGGAUGAUCUGCACCUGUGUCGGAGGACCAUUCGCCGUGCUGGAGGGCCCAAAGAGUGUUCUGGUCACGUGAGUCGCAGCCCUAUGGGCAUCCAUGCAUCAUGGCGAGAAAUGCAUUGUGAUUGAGGGUAACCCUCUGUGUUUUUGACCAGUCUGGAUGAGUGGUGACCCAGCACGGACAACGCAACCCCCCGACGCAGCCAGGAGAACUGUGCCGAACCCAGCAUGCCACUGCCUAGCCCCAGCCACCUCAGUCUGCCCCCUGUGGCACCUGCACUCCAAUGCCGACAUCAGCUGCUCUCGCCCCGCCUCCAGUGCAGCCCGUACCCACCCAUGGUCCAGCUUUUCCAGAAACCCAGCCCCUCGUCAUGAACUUCCGGUCCUGUCCCAGAGACUGCUCCCUCUACUCCCUGGUUUAAAUUAUUUCAAUAAAAAGGCUGCACUGUGAAA